UCUGGCUUGCUGAAUAUCUCCAACAAUGUCCUCAACACAUAUCAAAAAAUGUGACUGUUUUCAUUCAUGGGUACUCAAAGAAGCUAAUUCAAUCAAACACAGUGAACACGUCAAAGUGGCAAAGGGUGAGCCUGAGUGGCUUGUCACAGUUACAGCCGUGGUGCAAAGGCAACAUGGUGCCUCCAUGCUCCCCUGAGUCAAUAGCCAUGUCCCAAUGGCACGGCAACAAACCUGUCUCUGACAAAUGGUGAAGAAAAUUAAGAAUAAUACCUAAUUUCAAGGAGCAAUUAUUGUACACAACAGCAGGAACUGCACUUUAAUGGCCUCUGAAACGACACCAGCCUGAAAGCUCCAUCAAUCACAGUCCCACAGCUGCUCACAUCCAUGCUCGAGCCCACCAGCACUCACCUGGACUGUGAGCUGUCCAGAAAGGAUGUGAUUAGCUGCCGCCUCCCAUCUUUGUUGAAAACCAGAGCCUUACCACUGGCUAAGACACCACAACCAAAGCUGACUUCAGCACCACGGAUAGAGUAAAAGUUAUGGUAAGAAGAAAGUCUGGAACUGCCAAAGCUUUCCGAAAUAAACAUUGGGAAUGUCUGAGACGCCAUCUCACAAGCUGGGCCAGAAAAGCCUGGGUCACACCUGAAAGAAAGAUAGAAAGGCUACUUCAUAGAUACAGCCAUCCUCCGAGUCACCAAGAAGUUUCCAAACAGGCAAGAAAACAUAAGCUAAAUUGGACACCCUGGGAGCAUAAGUGUGAUUUGCACGGCAAGCAACUGGAAUGUGUUUUCCAGUAAGAGUAGCAUAGUGCACCUCAGGGAGAAAAGGAAGAAAGGGCGUUUAAUGAAGCUCAAGACCAUGACUUAGAAAUGUGAUUAAGUCUGUGCGUACUGACAAAACACCGGAAAAGCCUACAUCAAUGGCUCGUGAUUGUGACGGACGCAGACACUAACCAUUAUCAAUUGCCCACAUGUUUC